UACGGGGGGGGCAAGCGUUGUUCGGAAUUACUGGGCGUAAAGGGCUCGUAGGCGGCCAACUAAGUCGGAUGUGAAAUCCCCAAGCUUAACUUGGGAACUGCAUCCGAUACUGGAUGGCUUGAAUCCGGGAGAGGGAUGCAGAAUUCCAGGUGUAGCGGUGAAAUGCGUAGAUAUCAGGAGGAACACCGGUGGCGAAGGCGGGUCUCUGGGCCGAUAUCGACGCUGAGGAGCGAAAGCGUGGGGAGCGAACAGG
rnacentral:rRNA from 1 species